AAGGUUGAAGCGUUUCGGGUGCCAUGCAUGUGAUUAAUUAUUAAUGAUCUGAAAGAUGACAUCUGUAUACUAACAUGCAAGUCAACCUGACUGGAAUGAGUGAUUAUGUUUAAUGAUGCAAGACACAAUGCCACCUGAAUGACUGCGUGAUACAUUUGUACCUAAAUGUUUAAGAUCUCUAUAUAUCUGUUAGCCUAAUCUUACUUGAACAUUAGUGAAUUGUGUACUGAUUUGGAAGAUUAGACUAUGUUGAUUCAUCCAUAUUAACCCUUUCAUGCGUGAGUUUCAAAUAUCUCUAACGGUCGCCCCAGCGUGAGUUUUUUUAUGCACGUGAUGUUAGAAUGUUCUCUCCAUUCCAGAAUGUGAUUGAUACGUAACAGUACAUUUUAUCCGCGCUGCCCUCAAACUAAAGCACGCAGCCUGUUUAUAUUUAUAGGUUGUUUUAACUUCAAUUUCAAAUGAUUUUCAAACAAGUUUUUAUUUUCUAAAAACAGUUUGAAUUUAGGUGUGUUACGCCUCCUCAUUCAUUCACAUAAAAAUAGUCAUUUUUACUUUUGCGAAUAAUUACAUUUUUGGGACAUUUCUGACACGGACAAAAUUCCCCAAGCACUACCCAAUUGUUUGUGCAGUUCACGUCUGCAGACAUUUGCUCAUCUCCCGUCAGAACAGGAUCUGCACACGUGUUCACAUUUUCUAUUCCACAUUUCUAUUGUAGCGUACUGUAUGUAUGGAGCAUAAUAUAUUUGUGUAUAUUCUUUAUCACCGCGGACACGUGAGGUAACGUUACUCAUUUUAUAACCUUUAUGGUGUUAUAGUCAAUCGUGCUUACGUAGCCACAUUCUUCUAUUAGCUCUGUAAAACAAUGCUAAAUGCGUCAGAGAAGUAUUAUCUUGUGUUGCAUUUUGAAGCUACCAUGGCCUUACGACUCUCAAGUGGUGCAGCGGUCAAAGGCACAGCACAUCAGUACUAGAGGCGUCACUACAGACUCCCUGGUUCAAAUCCAGGCUGCGUUUCCAUCAAACUACCCUGGCCUUAUGACUUCCAAGUGGCGCAGCGGUCUAUGGCACUACAGACACCCUGGUUCAAAUCCAGGCUGUAUCACAACUGGCUGUGAUUGGGCGUCCCAUAUUGCAGCGCACAAUUGGCCCAGCGUUGUCCGAGUUUGGCCGGUGUAGGCCAUCAUUGUAAAUACUAAUUUGUUCUUAAAUUACUUGCCUAGUUAAAUAAAUAAAAGAUAUGACCAUGGUUUGUUUAUUUGGUCUAUUCAGCAUAGCUCUGUUCUGCCCUGCCUUGCCCCCUUGUGGAGCUCAAAAGUUAAUUUCUUACUGUUAUAACUCAAAUCUGUGAUUUUGUCAAUGCAAUAAACUAUUUUUUUUAUAGCAGUGUUUAUUAUGUUACUUCUUUGUAGUAUUGUUUUAUUGCUAUAUCCUUAUAUUGUAUUCUAAUGAAUAAUUCCUCUUUAUUCUGUACUUUCAGAAACAUUAUUUGUCAAUAUCAUAACUGGAGCUGGACAUCUUUGGAGCUGAAGAAUGAGGACAGCUUUUGUAUGCUAACGUACACUCCUUAACAGUUGUACUGGAUGAAAACACAGCAAGAAAACACAUAUGCCAAUAUGUAAUAUUAAUCUAUUUUAUUGCAGUACUGGUAGUUGGUUCAACAACUUGUUUUACUAGAGGACAAAAAACUGAAUAUGCAUAACCCAUAUUUAAUAUCCAUGCAGUGACUGAACAACAACUGCAUUUCCACCCCCAUCUCUAAGGCAUAUUAUCAUGGCUGCAACAACACUGAAUGGCGCAGAGUGGGAGGUUACGUGGUUGACUGCCGGCACGCGCUACUUGUAUCAAUAAAUCACUAUCAGAAAA